rnacentral:tRNA from 1 species
GCCUGGGUGGCUUGGUGGUUGAGUACCUGCCUUUGGCUCAGGAUGUGAUCCCAGAUUCCUGGGUUCGAGUCCCACAUCAGGCU